UGGCUCAGGACGAACGCUGGCGGCGUGCUUAACACAUGCAAGUCGAACGGAAAGGCCCCUUCGGGGGUACUCGAGUGGCGAACGGGUGAGUAACACGUGGGUAAUCUGCCCUGCACUUCGGGAUAAGCCUGGGAAACUGGGUCUAAUACCGGAUAUGACCACGAGGCGCAUGCCUUGUGGUGGAAAGCUUUUGCGGUGUGGGAUGGGCCCGCGGCCUAUCAGCUUGUUGGUGGGGUGACGGCCUACCAAGGCGACGACGGGUAGCCGGCCUGAGAGGGUGUCCGGCCACACUGGGACUGAGAUACGGCCCAGACUCCUACGGGAGGCAGCAGUGGGGAAUAUUGCACAAUGGGCGCAAGCCUGAUGCAGCGACGCCGCGUGGGGGAUGACGGCCUUCGGGUUGUAAACCUCUUUCAGCAGGGACGAAGCGCAAGUGACGGUACCUGCAGAAGAAGCACCGGCCAACUACGUGCCAGCAGCCGCGGUAAUACGUAGGGUGCGAGCGUUGUCCGGAAUUACUGGGCGUAAAGAGCUCGUAGGUGGUUUGUCGCGUUGUUCGUGAAAACCGGGGGCUUAACCCUCGGCGUGCGGGCGAUACGGGCAGACUGGAGUACUGCAGGGGAGACUGGAAUUCCUGGUGUAGCGGUGGAAUGCGCAGAUAUCAGGAGGAACACCGGUGGCGAAGGCGGGUCUCUGGGCAGUAACUGACGCUGAGGAGCGAAAGCGUGGGGAGCGAACAGGAUUAGAUACCCUGGUAGUCCACGCCGUAAACGGUGGGUACUAGGUGUGGGUUUCCUUCCUUGGAAUCCGUGCCGUAGCUAACGCAUUAAGUACCCCGCCUGGGGAGUACGGCCGCAAGGCUAAAACUCAAAGGAAUUGACGGGGGCCCGCACAAGCGGCGGAGCA
rnacentral:rRNA from 1 species